AACAGUGCGCUGCCUUUGUUCGGGAUACAGGUGAACGGCCAUCAUGUGAUUCACGCACACGCGCGCGCGCACAUAAAAAGGUUUUUCAGAGCGCCCAGCUCGCCUCAGACCCGAGGACGGGAGAGGAGACCUGGGCUGGGAGCAGCAGGGAGAGCACCCAUGGAGGGGACAAAGGAGUAUGAAAGCCACCCUGAAUUUGAUCAACCACCGUCACCAGCACGAACAAAAAGUCCUUCAGUUCGCUUUGUGCCAUAAGAGUCUUCACAACUGGGAACUGGGCAUGGGAACCAUAGCUGGGCUCUGGUCUUCAUCACACCUCAUCAAUUUUGGCUGAAGCUCCCAAUACUGAUCUUAGACCUUCCCAUGUGACUCUUGGCUCUCGCCAUCAGGAGACUCAGUGAGGCAGCCCAAAGAGGAAGGAAAUGGCAUGGGUCAUGCAGAAAAAUCAGAGAGCUGACUGCAACCCAUUCUGGGUUUGGCAGCACUGCACCAGGAGGCGCAUCCAUGUGGCUGCAAGACAGUUUGCUGUGUUCCCCAUUGCUGGGGAACCAAAGGAACAUGGAGUUGAUAAUUGCAUGGUGGGCUUGUUUUUUUGCUUCUUAGAUCCAGUGUCCUGGGUGGUGGCUGCCUUCCUCCAUAGUUACUGACAAGGAGUGGGUGAUGCCAAUGGCAUGUGGCCCUGUCUUUCAUCACCCCAAGAUGAGAAUUCUAGGGAAGCUUGGAGCUGCAGGAAUCCUCUUGGAAAGCAGAAAGGGCAAGCACCUCAGAGCAUUGCAAAUAUACCAGGCAGCUCCUGGUCCAACAUCUGAUCCAAUUCUUCAUGAACAUGGGGAGAAUUGGUAAUGGUAACGCUAUGCAAGUCCUUAUUGUCCCUUGGACAAUUUCCUGCAUUACCAGGGCCUGGAAAGAUCAAAGAGUAGCAAGGCCUGGCAGGUCUGUCAGCUACCUGCUUUGAUGGGUGGCAGACUAUUAACCCCCUCACCUCCUAACCAAGAGGCCAGGUGUAAUUCCAAAAAGCAAAUCCUAAAAAACAAGUAUUGAAGGAAUAAGGAGAUGGGGGAGAAAAAAUUGUUUUCUUAGGUAGAGUCUUCCAUGUUCAACGUGAUACAAUGGAGGGAACCGAGUGCUCUGUGACUGCGUGACCAAGGAGGGAUGCCGGGGGGGGAGAAGAAAGGAAAUGAGUACUCCUAAAUACGUGUGGGCAGAAUGACCAGAAAAGGAGACUCUCUCAAGGAAUCCUUUGGUUGUAACAGUGCUGGGUGACCCCUUUGGACUCAUACAGUGGAGGCCAAGGUAGCUCUGGGAGGACUUUCAGCUCCAACAACCCAGUGGCAGCAGGGAAGCUCCUGGGGAGACGGGGGAAGGGUUAAAUCAGGAAGGCUUCAGCCCGCUGCCUUGGCCCCUGUAAUUCCUCCAGAGAGUAGGACUGGGAGAACAAGGAGCCCAUUCUGUUCGCAGGAAUUAAUAGCAAGGAGUCAUCUGGGGUGUCAUUCAAGCCCUGAUCAGCUCCCAGAGGAAUGUGAGGGAGAGCGAGCGAAGGAGCACGGCCCCAGGCCGAGGCACCAAAGCCAGGGCAGGAGCAUUUGGGCUGGUAACCAGAGCUACCAGCCGGCAUUUGAGUGGCGGGACCCCAACCUUUGCAUCCCCUCUGCCCCCUGAGCCCAUACAAAGGGCUCCCACCAGCUCCUAGCUUGGGGACUGGUUUCCAGUUCUUUUGUCCCUUGUUCCCCAUCCAUUUCACGAGAAGGAAGAUGUCUCAGCCCACCAGCACCAUUGUAUCCCCUGCACCAUGCCAUGAGACCAUCAGAAGUGGUUUUGUCUUUGCAAACAAGCUUGGCCAGAAGGAGCCCAUAAGCACAUCUAGGGAUGUGGGUAGUUCAGGGGACUGUAGAGUUCAGAGCUUUGCCACCACAUCAUUUCUCCCAAAGUGACCAUUGUCACUGCAACAAAAGACCAAGCCUGCAAAUUAGCACGUCCAUGUUACAUUAUUUUGCUCCGCAGUCACAAAGUGAGGCUUGAAAGCACUGCGUGGUGACCGUGCAGCAUUGCCUGUGAUGCAAACCUGCUUCCACAAGGCAAGGAGAGAUUUUGGCCACCUCUAUCCUGGCCUGGAAAGGGAAUCUCAAGGUGGCCAACCUGCCGCUUCUCUGCCUGGCUGCACUGCAAGUUCACACCUGCUGGCACAAGGUUUCCCAAGGCUCCAAUGACACACCCAGGUUGGCAGGGCCACCAUAGGGCUGAUGGGAUCUGCAGGGCAAUCCUUCAGACCAGUCCUAGGCAGGACUAAAUAUCAGUACAGCUCCCCAGCAUGGCACUGAGCACAUGUUGGGUAAAAGAUGACCCACGUAGAAUGGAACAGAGCUGCACCGGAGUGCACAAGUUGCUUUUAUUGGCACACAGCUGGUAGCCAAAAUGCAUCCCACUAAAGCUUUCCUUCCUUCCCAUGUGCCUCAGGUUGCUGUGAAAACGGAUUUAAGUAAUAGCUCAGCAUCUCAGCAUCCUACAGGAGAUGUGCGGUGCCUCUGGGAUGGACUUCUCUGCCCCCUCUCCAUUCCCUGUGCCACCACCGCCACAAUAAGGACCCCUUGUCGUAGAGGGGUUAAUAAAUGAUGCAAGAAAGGAGCCCUUUAA